GGAAUGUGGCUCAAGUGGUAGCGCGCUCACCUGGCAUGUACGUGGUGCUGGGUUCGAUCCUCAGCACCA
rnacentral:tRNA from 1 species